rnacentral:rRNA from 1 species
GAUGAACGCUGGCGGCGUGCCUAAUACAUGCAAGUCGAGCGAACAGAUGCGGAGCUUGCUCCUCUGACGUUAGCGGCGGACGGGUGAGUAACACGUGGAUAACCUACCUAUAAGACUGGGAUAACUUCGGGAAACCGGAGCUAAUACCGGAUAAUAUAUUGAACCGCAUGGUUCAAUAGUGAAAGACGGUUUUGCUGUCACUUAUAGAUGGAUCCGCGCCGCAUUAGCUAGUUGGUAAGGUAACGGCUUACCAAGGCAACGAUGCGUAGCCGACCUGAGAGGGUGAUCGGCCACACUGGAACUGAGACACGGUCCAGACUCCUACGGGAGGCAGCAGUAGGGAAUCUUCCGCAAUGGGCGAAAGCCUGACGGAGCAACGCCGCGUGAGUGAUGAAGGUCUUCGGAUCGUAAAACUCUGUUAUUAGGGAAGAACAAAUGUGUAAGUAACUAUGCACGUCUUGACGGUACCUAAUCAGAAAGCCACGGCUAACUACGUG